rnacentral:rRNA from 1 species
GGGAGGGGAGCAAGCGUUGUUCGGAAUUACUGGGCGUAAAGGGCGCGCAGGCGGACUGGGCAAGUCGGGUGUGAAAACCCGGGGCUCAACCCCGGGCCUGCACUUGAUACUGCCCCCGUCUUGAGUACGGGAGAGGAAAGCGGAAUCCCAGGUGUAGCGGUGAAAUGCGUAGAUAUCUGGGAGAACACCGGUGGCGAAGGCGGCUUUCUGGACCGAUACUGACGCUGAGGCGCGAAGGCUAGGGGAGCAAACAGGAUUAGAUACCCUGGUAGUCCUAGCGGUAAACGAUGGGCACUAGGUGUUGGAGGUCUUACCCCUCCAGUGCCGCAGUUAACGCAUUAAGUGCCCCGCCUGGGGAGUACGAUCGCAAGAUUG